rnacentral:rRNA from 1 species
UACGUAGGGUGCGAGCGUUGUCCGGAAUUAUUGGGCGUAAAGGGCUCGUAGGCGGUUUGUCGCGUCGGGAGUGAAAACACCGGGCUUAACUCGGUGCUUGCUUUCGAUACGGGCAGACUAGAGGCAUGCAGGGGAGAACGGAAUUCCUGGUGUAGCGGUGAAAUGCGCAGAUAUCAGGAGGAACACCGGUGGCGAAGGCGGUUCUCUGGGCGUGUCCUGACGCUGAGGAGCGAAAGUGUGGGGAGCGAACAGG